GAGUUUGAUCCUGGCUCAGAUUGAACGCUGGCGGCAGGCCUAACACAUGCAAGUCGAGCGGGGUAGCAAUACCUAGCGGCGAACGGGUGAGGAAUGCUUGGGAAUCUGCCUGGUAGUGGGGGAUAACGUUCCGAAAGGAACGCUAAUACCGCAUACGUCCUACGGGAGAAAGGGGGGGAUCUUCGGACCUCUCGCUAUCAGAUGAGCCCAAGCGGGAUUAGCUAGUUGGUGGGGUAAAGGCCCACCAAGGCGACGAUCCCUAGCUGGUCUGAGAGGAUGAUCAGCCACACUGGAACUGAGACACGGUCCAGACUCCUACGGGAGGCAGCAGUGGGGAAUAUUGGACAAUGGGCGAAAGCCUGAUCCAGCCAUGCCGCGUGUGUGAAGAAGGCCUUCGGGUUGUAAAGCACUUUAAGCGGGGAGGAAGGUUCGUUACUUAAUACGUAACGGAAUUGACGUUACCCGCAGAAUAAGCACCGGCUAACUCUGUGCCAGCAGCCGCGGUA
rnacentral:rRNA from 1 species